ACGUAGGGGGCAAGCGUUGUCCGGAUUUAUUGGGCGUAAAGAGCGUGUAGGCGGUUUGGUAGGUCCGCUGUGAAAACUCGAGGCUCAACCUCGAGACGCCGGUGGAAACCAUCAGACUAGAGUCCGGAAGAGGAGCGUAGAAUUCCGGGUGUAGUGGUGAAAUGCGUAGAGAUCCGGAGGAAUACCAGUGGCGCAAGCGGCGCUCUGGGUCGAGCCUGACACUGAGACGCGAAGGCAUGGGGAGCGAACGGGA
rnacentral:rRNA from 1 species